AGCGAACGCUGGCGGCAGGCCUAACACAUGCAAGUCGAACGGAUCCUUCGGGAUUAGUCGCGGACGGGUGAGUAACACGUGGGAACGUGCCCUUUGGUUCGGAACAACUCAGGGAAACUUGAGCUAAUACCGGAUGUGCCCUUCGGGGGAAAGAUUUAUCGCCAUUGGAGCGGCCCGCGUCUGAUUAGCUAGUUGGUGAGGUAACGGCCCACCAAGGCGACGAUUAGUAGCUGGUCUGAGAGGAUGAUCAGCCACACUGGGACUGAGACACGGCCCAGACUCCUACGGGAGGCAGCAGUGGGGAAUCUUGCGCAAUGGGCGAAAGCCUGACGCAGCCAUGCCGCGUGAAUGAUGAAGGUCUUAGGAUUGUAAAAUUCUUUCAGCGGGGACGAUAAUGACGGUACCCGCAGAAGAAGCUCCGGCUAACUUCGUG
rnacentral:rRNA from 1 species